rnacentral:lncRNA from 10 species
UGUAUCGAUUGUUGAGAUCUGGCGACUUGUUUAAAUUUCAUCAGCCUCACUUCUAUGAACUCUCAGAGCUGAUUACCAACUCCUACCACUGUUAACCCUCAUCCAGGAACAAGCUUAUGUCUUUAACAUUCUGAGUGGGCUUCAGCAUCCUUGCAUAUGUUCAAUUCUUAAAAACCUGUUGAAAUAAAAGAUCAGGAGACAUAGGAAGGAUGCCAGAAGAGAGCGUGGCCUCACGUGUACCAGCUCUCUGCUCUCCUUUGCCUUGGGACGUUCCAUCCCUGGAAGUUUCCCUGCCCACAUCUUUGUAGAGAGUCCAUUCUCCAAGCUUCAGUGUGUCAUCUGUGAGGACCGUGACCCACCUGGUACAUCGCCUCAGGGCAUUCAUUUCAGGCUCCUUCUAAAUGGCCAAGUCUUCUGCCAGCCUAACAAGCAUAGCAAGAAGAUAUAGCCCCACAACCACUUUAUGCACAAAGUUAGAAGCAUAAAAUCUCAUGGAAGGAGACCGAUUAUCUACAGAAGAGGUUGUCUUGCCAUUUCUCUCAUGUUAGAGGUAAACCUCAGGUUCUCCUCCUGCCUUUUGCUAAGUAUAUGUCUUGAUGACAAGCCUUCUGCUGAUGAGCUGUGUUUCUGGACCGAUCAUGGUAGAAGUCAAUUAACGUGUCCCUCACUUGGGGUUUCUCAAGGUCAUCUAUGAACUGACUCUGUCUCAAAAAAAAAAAGAAAAAAAAGAAAAGAAAGAAUGAAAAAAAAAACUAGGACAUGGCUAACAGGAAUGGGGACAAAGAAUCUGCACUGAUGAGGAAACUGAAACAGAAAAUCCAGAGUAAAUUCCACCAGGCCACACAGCAAGGUCUGAUAGAGCCAGGAGAGACUUUAUGAAAUCCAGACUCUCACACUAAUGCUCUAUCAGCUAGACCUCCAUGUGAGUCUCCCCAAUGUAGGUAGGAAGUGCUUUCCC